ensembl:lncRNA
GGGAGCGGGUAGACCUUCCCUUCUCCAGGGGAUCUUCCCGACCCAGGGAUCGAACCCAGGUCUCCUGCAUUGCAGGCAGGUUCUUUACCCUCUGAGCCACCUUCUGGAGGCUCUAAUCUGUAUAUAGUAUUUCUCUAUGCCUGGUUCUAUUGCAAAUGCAUUACAUAACGUUCAUUAGUUUCAUCAUUACAACUAUCUUAUGGGGCAGAUACUUUGCAUUACCUACUAACACGUGAGGAAACUGAAACACAGAGAGGUUAUGUCACUUGGUGAAGCAACACAGCUAACAAGCAGAGAGAGGCUCCUAAUGUGCAAGCGUGCUUAGUCACUCAGUCGUGUCCUACUCUUUGUGACCCCAUGGGCAGCAGCCCGCCACGCUUCUCUGUCCAGGGGAUUCUCCAGUAUUCUUGCCUGGGAAAUGCCAUAGACAGAGGAGUCUGGCACGCUAUAGUCCAUGGGGUCACAAAAGAGUCAGACACAUCUUAGUGGCUAAACAUCAAUGAGUACAUGAAAUAUACCAGAGAUAUUUCUAAAGUAGGAAUUCUGAAGGCUACAGGUGUUGCAAAGAGUCGGACGUGACAGAGUGGCUGAGCAUUUGUACUCAUGUGCAAUGAAUGCUUUCUGACAAUUAAUGAAAGGAAUGAACACAUGAAGCGCUUCCCAGGUGGCUCAGUGGUAAAGGAUUUGCCUGCCAGGGUACUUGGAUUCGAUCCCUGGGUCAGGAAGAUCUCCUGGAGAAGGAAAUGGCAAUCCACUCCAGUAGGCUUGACUGGAAAAUCCCAUGGACAGAGGAGCCUGGUGGGCUAUAGUCCAUGGAGUCACAAAAGAAUCAGACACAACUUAGUGGCUAAACAACAACAAUGAACACAUGAAAUAUACCAGGGAUAUUUCUAAAGUAAGAAGUCUGGUUGUACGUCGGUGUUGUCACCAUCAGCCUCUUUCAGUUUCCCUGGAUAAAACAUUCACAGUCCUAUUUUGCAUGGAUUCCUCACCCUGUUCUGAAAUCAUUGCAUCUCUGAGUGGACCAGCAAUACUAAGGGUUUGUGGAUGACAUUUCCAUUGCACAAUCACAUGUGACUAUUGCUCUGAUAUGGUUAAUGGAAUUAUAUCAAUGGGUGGGAUUUGAAAUGGGUGGGUAGAUGCUUUCUUAGGGGCACAGUGUGGUUUGUAGGUAAUACCAGCUGGUGGUAAGUCAUUCAUAGAGAGUUCAGGUAGGGUGAAAAAGAGUGCCUGGCUCACGGCUUUAGACUGGGAGAGCCGAAGGGCUUCCUUGAGCAGACGCCAUUUAAGUUGAGAAUCGGGUGCAUCAGGAGAUGAUGAAGAUGGGGAGCCUACUUGUGUAGUAUCUACAGGAAGAAGGUGUGGCCUGGAGUAUGAGAAGAAAUAUGUAAGAAGAUGAGUCUGCAAAGGUAGGAGAGGCAUCAGGUGGGAACUUCUAAGCCAGGGAAAGGAUAUUGGCUUUUGUUUUAAGUGCUGUGGGAAAGUUUAGGUGGGUGAUGGUGGAUUAAGGGAGUGGAAUGAUGUGAUGUUGCUUCCCUGGUGGUUCAGACAGUAAAGAGUCUGCCUGCAAUGUGGGAGACUUGGGUUCAAGCCCUGGGUCAGGAAGAUCCCCUGGAGAAUGGACUGGCAAUCCACUCCAGUAUUCUUGCUUGGAGAAUCCAAUGGACAGAGGGGCCUGGCAGGCUACAGCCCAUGGAGUCACAAAGAGUUGGACACGACUGAGUGACAUCACUUUCACUUUUACAGUGCGACUGUUUUUAAAGAAUACUGGUUGUGUUUGAGGAACUGGUUGAAAAGGAUGAGCUAGGGAGCAGAGGAACCACAAGGAAGGUUUCUGGCAGAAGUCCAGGUCAGCAAUCAUGGCGGCUUCACUAGGUCGGAAGCAGAGAGGGUGAAAGAAGGAGGGCAUGGUGGGGAUGUUCCCCAGGAAAGUGGGCAGGACCUUUUCAGGGAUUAGAGGAAGAGGAGACAGAACAGAUUCAAGGAUUUGAUUUUUGGCCUGAUCAGCUCAGGCCAAAUGAUAAUGGUGUCGUGCAUGGAAAUGGGAAGACCAGGGAUGGAGUAAUUGGUUAUUUUUCUUUUGGAAGUGGAGAAGAAUCAAGAGUUUAUUUUAGCCCCAUUAAUCUUAAAAUGCCUGUUUGACAUCGGGGAGGAAUUCCAAGCAGGACUUUGGAGAUUCAGGCCCGGAAUUCUGGCGAGGGGUCGGGCCCAGAGAAGCAGUGGAGCACCCCAUCUGCACAGCAUCGUCCAGCUCUCAGAGCCCCUUGUGCAUUAGCCAUUAACCCCAUAGCCGCUCCAUGGCAAGAUUAUUAUCUCUGCAACCUUACUGAUUAAUAACAAUACCUGGCCUGUAUAUCUCCCUUGAGUUUCCUAAACACUUCCCCAUAGACUGUCCCUGUCACACUUUGCUCCUAUUCAUCACACUGGGAAAUAGAAGGCCUGGGUAAUGAGGGUUGUAAAGACAGGAAUUAUACCUGUCGGAACUUAUACCUGCAGAGGCACACAGGUGACGUCAUAGGGUAUGAACACCUGUGUGUUGUUUCGUUCAGUGGCUAAAUCCUGUCCGACUCGGUGUGACCGCAUGAACUGCAUGCAGCUCGCCUGCAGGCUUCCCUGUCCUUCACUGUCUCCUGGAGUUUGCUCAGACUCAUGUCCCUUGAGUCGAUAAUGCCAUCCAACCAUCUCAUCCUCUGUCACUCCUGUCUCCUUUGGCCCUCAGUCUUUCCCAGCAACAGGAUCUUUUCCAAUGAAUGGGCUCUUUGCAUCAGGUGGUCAAAGUAUUGGAGCUUCAGCUUCAGCAUCAAUUGUUUCAAUGAAUAUUUAGUAUUGACUGGUUUGAUCUCCUUGCUGUCCAAGAGACACCUAUGGGUAUCCUCUUUAAAAAAGCAGUUAGUUUUUUAUGAUGGACAUGAGAGCCCUCUGCUGUUCAGACUGGGCAUAUCCACUAAAAUAUGAUUUUUUUCAGCUGAACGGACUGGAAGUCCAUUAUCGAAUCAGAGUUCUCUCUUAUUUUUGUAAUAUGCUCUUGGGACAAAAACCCCACUGAUGACCACUAACAAUGUUUAAAACAAUUUAAUUUGUCAUAGCUAAUAAUAGCCCUGUGGUAUGAAACCCCAUAUUUUAUUUUUCAAGAAAGCAACGUUGAGUGAGAGAAACAAAGAGCUUUAUGUUUGAGACAAAUUUUUUCCCACUGCCAGUUACCCAAGCCCAGGUACGGUUCUAGAAUAAAAGCAGCAAUUUCACGGCUAAAAGAGGAAUGAAGAGCACCAAAACCUC